GCGUCGGAUGCGGUCUUGGUGAGCCGCGGCGGACUGUAAAUCCGUUCCACAUGCGGACUGAGGGUUCGAAACCCUCCCGACGCA
rnacentral:tRNA from 1 species